rnacentral:tRNA from 2 species
GCCGAGGUGCUGGAAUGGUAGACAGCCCAGACUUAAAAUCUGGUGUCACAAUUGUGACGUGCGGGUUCGAGUCCCGCCCUCGGCA